rnacentral:antisense_RNA from 1 species
UUCAGUACGACAUUGCUCACAUUGCUUCCAGUAUUAUCUUGCCCGCCCCGUGCGGGCUUUUUUUU